rnacentral:rRNA from 1 species
UACAGAGGGGGGCAAGCGUUUAUUCGGAAUUAUUGGGCGUAAAGGGCGCGUAGGCGGCUUGGCAAGUGGAUGGUGAAAUCCCUCGGCUUAACCGAGGAACUGCCAUCCAGACUGCUUUGCUUGAGGCCGGGAGAGGUGAGUGGAAUUCCCAGUGUAGCGGUGAAAUGCGUAGAUAUUGGGAGGAACACCAGUGGCGAAGGCGGCUCACUGGACCGGUUCUGACGCUGAUGCGCGAAAGCGUGGGGAGCGAACAGG